rnacentral:rRNA from 2 species
CCUGAUGACCAUAGCGAGGUGGUCCCACUCCUUCCCAUCCCGAACAGGACAGUGAAACGCCUCUGCGCCGAUGAUAGUGCGGAUUCCCGUGUGA